rnacentral:rRNA from 1 species
UGGCGGCGUGCCUAACACAUGCAAGUCGAGCGAAUCGAUUUAGCGGAAGUUUUCGGAUGGAAGUUAAAUUGACUGAGCGGCGGACGGGUGAGUAACGCGUGGGUAACCUGCCUCAUACAGGGGGAUAACAGUUAGAAAUGACUGCUAAUACCGCAUAAGCGCACAGCAUCGCAUGAUGCAGUGUGAAAAACUCCGGUGGUAUGAGAUGGACCCGCGUCUGAUUAGCUAGUUGGUGAGGUAAAGGCCCACCAAGGCGACGAUCAGUAGCCGACCUGAGAGGGUGAUCGGCCACAUUGGGACUGAGACACGGCCCAAACUCCUACGGGAGGCAGCAGUGGGGAAUAUUGCACAAUGGGGGGAACCCUGAUGCAGCAACGCCGCGUGAGUGAAGAAGUAUUUCGGUAUGUAAAGCUCUAUCAGCAGGGAAGAAAAUGACGGUACCUGACUAAGAAGCCCCGGCUAACUACGUGCCAGCAGCCGCGGUAAUACGUAGGGGGCAAGCGUUAUCCGGAUUUACUGGGUGUAAAGGGAGCGUAGACGGCGAAGCAAGUCUGAAGUGAAAGCCCGGGGCUUAACCCCGGGACUGCUUUGGAAACUGUUUUGCUAGAGUGCUGGAGAGGUAAGUGGAAUUCCUAGUGUAGCGGUGAAAUGCGUAGAUAUUAGGAGGAACACCAGUGGCGAAGGCGGCUUACUGGACAGUAACUGACGUUGAGGCUCGAAAGCGUGUGGAGCAAACAGGAUUAGAUACCCUGGUAGUCCACGCGGUAAACGAUGAAU